UACAGAAAGGGAAGUGCAGUGGAGGA
rnacentral:piRNA from 1 species